CAUGCGAGUCGAACGCAGUAGCAAUACUGAGUGGCAAACGGGUGAGUAUAAUGUGGGAAUCUGCCUUUUGGUUUGGAAUAACACGGGGAAACUCGUGCUAAUACCGAAUAAGCCUUUACAGGGAAAGUUUUAACGCCGAAAGAUGAGCCCGCACUUGAUUAGCUAGUUGGUAAGGUAAAAGCUUACCAAGGCAAUGAUCAAUAGCUGUUCUUAGAGGAAGACCAGCCACAUUGGGACUGAGACACGGCCCAGACUCCUACGGGAGGCAGCAGUGGGGAAUCUUGCACAAUGGGGGAAACCCUGAUGCAGCGAUGCCGCGUGAGUGAAGAAGGCCUUUGGGUUGUAAAACUCUUUCGUCGGGGAAGAAAAUGACUGUACCCGAAUAAGAAGGUCCGGCUAACUUCGUGCCAGCAGCCGCGGUAAUACGAAGGGACCUAGCGUAGUUCGGAAUUACUGGGCUUAAAGAGCUCGUAGGUGGUUAAAAAGUUGAUGGUGAAAUCCCAAGGCUUAACCUUGGAACUGCCAUCAAAACUUUUUAGCUAGAGUGUGAUAGAGGUAAGUGGAAUUUCUAGUGUAGAGGUGAAAUUCGUAGAUAUUAGAAAGAACACCAAAUGCGAAGGCAACUUACUGGGUCACUACUGACACUGAGGAGCGAAAGCAUGGGUAGCGAAGAGGAUUAGAUACCCUCGUAGUCCAUGCCGUAAACGAUGUGUGCUAGACGUUGGAAAUAUAUUUUUCAGUGUCGCAGCGAAAGCAUUAAGC
rnacentral:rRNA from 1 species